rnacentral:rRNA from 1 species
AGAGUUUGAUCAUGGCUCAGAUUGAACGCUGGCGGCAGGCCUAACACAUGCAAGUCGAACGGUAACAGGAAACAGCUUGCUGUUUCGCUGACGAGUGGCGGACGGGUGAGUAAUGUCUGGGAAACUGCCUGAUGGAGGGGGAUAACUACUGGAAACGGUAGCUAAUACCGCAUAACGUCGCAAGACCAAAGAGGGGGACCUUCGGGCCUCUUGCCAUCGGAUGUGCCCAGAUGGGAUUAGCUUGUUGGUGGGGUAACGGCUCACCAAGGCGACGAUCCCUAGCUGGUCUGAGAGGAUGACCAGCCACACUGGAACUGAGACACGGUCCAGACUCCUACGGGAGGCAGCAGUGGGGAAUAUUGCACAAUGGGCGCAAGCCUGAUGCAGCCAUGCCGCGUGUAUGAAGAAGGCCUUCGGGUUGUAAAGUACUUUCAGCGGGGAGGAAGGGAGUAAAGUUAAUACCUUUGCUCAUUGACGUUACCCGCAGAAGAAGCACCGGCUAACUCCGUGCCAGCAGCCGCGGUAAUACGGAGGGUGCAAGCGUUAAUCGGAAUUACUGGGCGUAAAGCGCACGCAGGCGGUUUGUUAAGUCAGAUGUGAAAUCCCCGGGCUCAACCUGGGAACUGCAUCUGAUACUGGCAAGCUUGAGUCUCGUAGAGGGGGGUAGAAUUCCAGGUGUAGCGGUGAAAUGCGUAGAGAUCUGGAGGAAUACCGGUGGCGAAGGCGGCCCCCUGGACGAAGACUGACGCUCAGGUGCGAAAGCGUGGGGAGCAAACAGGAUUAGAUACCCUGGUAGUCCACGCCGUAAACGAUGUCGACUUGGAGGUUGUGCCCUUGAGGCGUGGCUUCCGGAGCUAACGCGUUAAGUCGACCGCCUGGGGAGUACGGCCGCAAGGUUAAAACUCAAAUGAAUUGACGGGGGCCCGCACAAGCGGUGGAGCAUGUGGUUUAAUUCGAUGCAACGCGAAGAACCUUACCUGGUCUUGACAUCCACAGAACUUUCCAGAGAUGGACUGGUGCCUUCGGGAACUGUGAGACAGGUGCUGCAUGGCUGUCGUCAGCUCGUGUUGUGAAAUGUUGGGUUAAGUCCCGCAACGAGCGCAACCCUUAUCCUUUGUUGCCAGCGGUCCGGCCGGGAACUCAAAGGAGACUGCCAGUGAUAAACUGGAGGAAGGUGGGGAUGACGUCAAGUCAUCAUGGCCCUUACGACCAGGGCUACACACGUGCUACAAUGGCGCAUACAAAGAGAAGCGACCUCGCGAGAGCAAGCGGACCUCAUAAAGUGCGUCGUAGUCCGGAUUGGAGUCUGCAACUCGACUCCAUGAAGUCGGAAUCGCUAGUAAUCGUGGAUCAGAAUGCCACGGUGAAUACGUUCCCGGGCCUUGUACACACCGCCCGUCACACCAUGGGAGUGGGUUGCAAAAGAAGUAGGUAGCUUAACCUUCGGGAGGGCGCUUACCACUUUGUGAUUCAUGACUGGGGUGAAGUCGUAACAAGGUAACCGUAGGGGAACCUGCGGUUGGAUCACCU